GGCGAAAUUAAGAGUUACUUAAGGAUAUUUUUAGGAUUUUCUCUUUGUUUUUUAAUUUCUUUCAGCUUUCUGUAUUUUUUGGGAUAAUGAAGUUAGUAACAAAGUCCAAACGUUCUUUUUUCUUUGGAAAAUAAUUCUUAAAUUCAUUGCCUAAGAGUCAAUCCUUUAAAUGUCUAGAAUAAUCUUCAAUAAACCAAUUUAGAGAAUUAAGGCGAUCAACAAUAUAAUUUAACAAUCCUACUUCUAAAUACUUACAUAUUAGUGAUCAAGAUAAAGUAGUUAGAAUGAGAAAAAUCUCUAGUCAUUUCGGUGUUGGGCAAAUGCACCAAGCAUUUCAUAAAAGUUAAAAAUGUAAAACUCAAGUUCUUGAUAUAAGGAAAAAAUUUGAAUUCAAUAUCUUCAUGGGAAAGCCUUCUCAAUCUUUUGA
rnacentral:misc_RNA from 1 species